ACUCAAAGGAAUUGACGGGGGCCCGCACAAGCGGAGGAACAUGUGGUUUAAUUCGAUGAUACGCGAGGAACCUUACCCGGGCUCGAACGGUGCAUGAAUGUUCAAGAGAUUGGAUAGUCCUUCGGGACAUGUAUCGAGGUGCUGCAUGGUUGUCGUCAGCUCGUGCCGUGAGGUGUCGGCUUAAGUGCCAUAACGAGCGCAACCCUUGUCAUUAGUUACCAUCAGGCAAAGCUGGGGACUCUAAUGAGACUGCCACCGUAAGGUGUGAGGAAGGGGGGGAUGACGUCAAAUCAGCACGGCCCUUAUGUCCGGGGCGACACACGUGUUACAAUGGGGGGUACAGAGGGCAGCCAUCCGGUGACGGAGCGCUAAUCUCCAAAACCCUUCUCAGUUCGGAUUGGAGUCUGCAACCCGACUCCAUGAAGUUGGAUUCGCUAGUAAUCGCGCAUCAGCCAUGGCGCGGUGAAUACGUUCCCGGGCCUUGUACACACCGCCCGU
rnacentral:rRNA from 1 species